GUGCCAGCAGCCGCGGUAAUACGGAGGGUGCAAGCGUUAAUCGGAAUUACUGGGCGUAAAGCGCACGCAGGCGGUCUGUCAAGUCGGAUGUGAAAUCCCCGGGCUCAACCUGGGAACUGCAUUCGAAACUGGCAGGCUAGAGUCUUGUAGAGGGGGGUAGAAUUCCAGGUGUAGCGGUGAAAUGCGUAGAGAUCUGGAGGAAUACCGGUGGCGAANGCGGCCCCCUGGACAAGACUGACGCUCANGUGCGAAAGCGUGGGGAAGCAACAGGAUUAGAUACCCUGGUAGUCC
rnacentral:rRNA from 1 species